AGUGAACGCUGGCGGUAGGCCUAACACAUGCAAGUCGAACGCCAGCACAGGAGAGCUUGCUCUCUAGGUGGCGAGUGGCGGACGGGUGAGGAAUACAUCGGAAUCUGCCCAGUCGUGGGGGAUAACGUAGGGAAACUUACGCUAAUACCGCAUACGACCUUCGGGUGAAAGAGGGGGAUCGCAAGACCUCUCGCGAUUGGAUGAGCCGAUGUCGGAUUAGCUAGUUAGCGGGGUAAUGGCCCACCAAGGCGACGAUCCGUAGCUGGUCUGAGAGGAUGAUCAGCCACACUGGAACUGAGACACGGUCCAGACUCCUACGGGAGGCAGCAGUGGGGAAUAUUGGACAAUGGGCGCAAGCCUGAUCCAGCCAUACCGCGUGGGUGAAGAAGGCCUUCGGGUUGUAAAGCCCUUUUGUUGGGAAAGAAAUCUUUCAGGCUAAUACCCUGGGAGGAUGACGGUACCCAAAGAAUAAGCACCGGCUAACUUCGUG
rnacentral:rRNA from 1 species